AACACAUGCAAGUCGAGCGGUAGAAGUAGCAAUACUUUGAGAGCGGCGCACGGGUGAGUAACGCGUAUGUAACCUAGCGAUAACUGGGGGAUAGCCUUCCGAAAGGGAGAUUAAUACCGCAUAACACUAUGAUACGGCAUCGUAAUAUAGUUAAACAUUUAUGGGUUAUCGAUGGACAUGCGUGACAUUAGUUAGUUGGUGAGGUAACGGCUCACCAAGACUACGAUGUCUAAGGGGUCUUAAAGGAUGAUCCCUCACACUGGUACUGAGGCACGGACCAGACUCCUACGGGAGGCAGCAGUGGGAAUAUUGGUCAAUGGACGCAAGUCUGAACCAGCCAUGCCGCGUGCAGGAUGACGGCCCUACGGGUUGUAAACUGCUUUUAUAGGGGGAUAAAUUAAGCUACGUGUAGUUUAUUGAAGGUACCCUAUGAAUAAGGAUCGGCUAACUCCGUGCCAGCAGCCGCGGUAAUACGGAGGAUUCAAGCGUUAUCCGGAUUUAUUAGGUUUUAAGGGUUCGUAGGCGGGAGAUUAAGUCAGUGGUGAAAUGCAACAGCUUAACUGUUGAACUGCCAUUGAUACUGGUUUUCUUGAGUGUAGUUGAGGUAGGCGGAAUGUAUCAUGUAGCGGUGAAAUGCAUAGAUAUGAUACAGAACACCGAUUGCGAAGGCAGCUUACUAAGCUAUAACUGACGCUGAGGAACGAAAGCGUGGGGAUCAAACAGGAUUAGAUACCCUGGUAGUCCACGCCGUAAACGAUGAUUACUCGAUGUGUGUGAUAUACAGUACGUGUCUAAGCGAAAGCAAUAAGUAAUCCACCUGGGGAGUACGUUCGCAAGAAUGAAACUCAAAGGAAUUGACGGGGGCCCGCACAAGCGGAGGAACAUGUGGUUUAAUUCGAUGGUACGCGAGGAACCUUACCCGGGUUUGAACGCAGAGUGCAUGAGGUGGAAACACUUCUUUCCGCAAGGACUUUCUGCGAGGUGCUGCAUGGUUGUCGUCAGCUCGUGCCGUGAGGUGUCGGUUUAAGUACCAUAACGAGCGCAACCCCUAUUAUUAGUUGCUAGCGGUUAAAGCCGGGGACUCUAAUGAGACUGCCAUCGUAAGAUGUGAGGAAGGUGGGGAUGACGUCAAAUCAGCACGGCCCUUAUAUCCGGGGCUACACACGUGUUACAAUGGACGGUACAGAGGGCAGCUACUGGGUGACCAGAUGCAAAUCUCGAAAGCCGUUCUCAGUUCGGAUCGAAGUCUGCAAUUCGACUUCGUGAAGCUGGAUUCGCUAGUAAUCGCGCAUCAGCCAUGGCGCGGUGAAUACGUUCCCGGGCCUUGUACACACCGCCCGUCAAACAAUGGAAGCUGGGGGUACCUAAAGUCCGUAACCGCAAGGAGCGGCCUAGGGUAAAACUGGUAACU
rnacentral:rRNA from 1 species